UUUCAGUGAUGGUUUCAGUAUGAUGACGAGUCCGAUGCUUUUCCAUUCUUUCAAAACGUUACGACAAAUCGAGGCAUUUGUCUGAGAGAA